rnacentral:lncRNA from 1 species
AGAGCUCAUACUGACCUUCAGUGAUGUUUUUUUUGGGUAGGCUACCUCCUGAUGAGAGUUGGCUGGUUGGUGGACCUGCCUCUGGACUCUGGGGUGGUCGGUCUUCUGUUCUGAGAGCAGCAGCAGCUUCUCAGCAAUCAGAAUCCAGACGAGUUUAAAAGCGUUUGUACACUCUGCUGCUGCUGCUGCUGCUGCUGCUGAAUAGAGGCUGUAAAAAGGUGUGUAUUGUAGUGCAGACCUCUAUAAGCUGAACGCUCCUCGGGUCAGUACAGUCGCCCGUACUCAGACUCAGCCUUGGAUAAGAACACCGUUCCUCCGCCCGGAGACCGGCCCCGGAUAAAACCAGACGACCUUCAUCAAAGAAGAGAGAAAUAAUCUGAAAAGCAGGAGAGAGAACUGAAAAGAAACUGAACAAACCCUGAAACGCCUGCUUUAAAACCAUGCAGAUGCUCCUCUGACUGUACCAGCAAGUUCAGAAUCUCCAUAUAUAAUAUAUUUACUGUGUAAAGCGAUAGGAAAAUACAUUAACCUGUAAAAAAUGAAGAGAGCACUUCAGUUUCUGAAUCAGUUCCUCUGAUUUUAAGAGUUCAGAAAUUAAUAUUUGGUGGAAUAACCCUGCUUGGUUUUUAAUCACAGUUUUCAAUCAUGCAUCUUGGCAUCAUGUUCUCCUCCACCAGUCUUACACACUGCUUUUGGUUCAUUACAAUUCAAGCAGUUCAGUUUGAUUUGAUGCCUUGUGAUCAUCCAUCUUCCUCUUGAUUAUACCUCUGAUAAAUAAAGUACAGGCUGAAUUAUCUACUGUUUUUCUC